AAAUAAAGAUGAACAUGUUCAACUGAUUGAUGAGAAGCACAUCCAGGCCCAGGAUUCUUUCUACUACUCUGGGACUCAAGCAGAUACAUGGCUUCUGUUCUUGAGGAAAUUGAGAAUGUAGAAGGAUGCAAACAUUCUAGACAUAAACACGAACCCACUCACCCAAAAAGUACAUGAUGAACACCUACAGUAUGCUAGGCAGGCCCAGGACUGGUCUUUCUCCACUGUCCAGGCAGUUUCUGAAGAGACCGCACUACCUAACCGAGUGAUUACUUCAGGACUUGAAAUAGCUUUUUUCCUGUCCCAGAUAUGACACAGUCACUUCCUCAGUAGAGCCAUCACUCCAAGAGGAACAGGACGUCCUUGUAACGGAGCCAGGAAGGUCACAUGAUCAGACAGCCGGGGGCCUCCUGGGACCUCGUUUCCCCUUAAGCUGUUGGCAAGGACUUGUCUAUGAAAGUCUGUCUAUGAGAGGCCCUGGCAAGCCAUCCCGAACCUACCCUCCUAUAGGGUUUCAGUCCAAAGCAAUUUCUGCAGGGAAUAAACUUUUGAUGAAUGAAUGACAAGCAGGGUGAUUGGGGAGGAUUUCUGUGGAAUAUCUUUGGUGAUCACAUAGAAAUAAACCCAGCAUGCACAGGCUUCCACAUUAGGAGGUCAGGGGAUCCCCAUGAUCCUGUUAUCUUUGUCUUCAGUGGCACCCUUAAAGGAGGCCAUAAAGUUUGGACAAGUAGCCCAAUUUGCUGAUUGGGGAAUCCCUUGGCAUAGUCUGGAGCCAGCUAGAGUAGAGAGUGAGAAACAGGGAGGAAAGAUUUUCCCUAGAAUUCAGGAUCAGGCAAAAGAGAAAGAUAUUUAUGAAGGCUGAAGCUCAGCCACAGCACCAGCUCCAGACCCCCAGACCUCACAGACUCAUGGUCAAGUUUUACUGGGAAGUGACUGAGCACUACAGGGGAAAAUAUGAUUUAGGCAUUUAUGCAGAAGCAGGGUUUGGGGAGCUGAGAAAAGUCUUCAAGAGGCCUAAAGAAGGGGAAAAUUAGCUGAGUCAGAAGCCAACAAGAGGAACCUGAAGGAGAGGAACUUGGUAUGUAGAGUCAGAGGCAGCCUCAUGUUGGGAGAGAGAGUUGAGUGUUUUUAAAAUCUUUAAUGUCUGGUGCCAAGAAAGUCUUUAGGAGACAUAAAGCAAUUCUAUAUUUAUUUAGUGAAACCUUCCAGUCAACUAAGAGUCACCUUUGGGAUGAAUGGGAGAAUCCCUUUUAAAUUAAAUUAAUUCAGUUUAAGACAAGGUUUCACUCUGUCACCCAGGCUGGAGUGUAGUGGUGCCAUCUCGGCUCAGUGCAACCUCUGCCUCCUGGGUUCAAGUGAUCCUCCUGCCUCAGCCUCCUGAGUAGCUGGGGCUUCAGGUGCAAGGGUCAGGUCACUACACUCAGCUAAUUUUUAAAUUUUUUUGUAGAGACAAGGUCUCACUAUAUUGCCCAGGCUGUUCUUGAACCCUUGGUCUCAAGCGAUCCCCCCAUCUCAGCCUCCCAAAGUGUUGGAAUAGCAGGUGUGAGCCACUGCGCCCAGCCAGAAUCCCUACUCAGACUAGGAAAAACUUCCAGAAUACCAGGAACCCCGAGUACUAGGAAUUUUCCAUGGCCAUCUGGUCUUGCUGCUCAGCCUCUUCUCUUUUCUCCCAGACUACAAUAGCAGAUAAACCCAAAGGCUCCAGGGCCUUUGAUCUAUGGAAGAAUUGAAGCUGGUCAUCACACAGGUGAGGUUGCACAACUUCAGUUUAUGUCUGGGACAUGGAGAAAGCUACCUGGCCAAAUGGUGGACAUCAGGGUUGCAUUGGUUAGAGUGCACAUUUGUAGGCAAUAGAAUUCAUUCUAGCAAGUUUAAGAAGGGGUUUAUUUGGGGAUAUUGGGAAGAUCACAGAAUUGUCAGAAGGGCUGAAGGAACAAGCUCUAAGCUGAAAUUCCAUGAACACUUCCUAGAGACACACUGCAGGAUUGGGUCGGUAAGAAGCUGUUACCACUGCCAACCAUGAACCAUGGUUGUCUCUGCUGCAGGCAAAGAGCUGCCACUGCCACCUCCAGCCCCAGAAACCUGCUGUACCUGCUGCCAUCUGGGCCUGCACCCCUUCUGUUUCCUCAUGUAGCUCACUUCCAAAUCAAAGUCUCAUGUGGGUGCAUCUAAGUGGCAAAACCUAAGCCAUGUGUCUGUACCCAGCAGCAAGCAAAGCUGAGAAAUGUCUACACCCACACAUCUAUGCAGAGAGACACAAAUUCAAUGUGAAUAUCCUUAAAAUGUGGAGAGAUUAUGCAAAAGCUUUUGGAAGUCAAGAAUGACAGAUAUCUACUACAAGAAGUCUGUGAACUAUGGCCUGAGAUGCUCAGGAAAAGGUGAUCUGUUGAAAGUGCCCCACUGUGUGGGUGAAGUGAUAGAGUCCCUGGUGGACUUCCCUCAAUAGCAUUAAGCUCAGUUCAUCUUGGGCAAAAUAGAGAAGUAAGAAAUGCUUGUGUUCUAGGUUCUUCAAUCAACCAAGUAAAACUGUUUUUACCAUUUAUUUAUUUUUAAGAUUCUUUCAAAAAGAUUUGAGUCAACCAUGGUAUUGUUUUGCAUAUUACAGUACUAGUCAAUUCUGGGCAUCAUGAAAGACACAAACAGUUACACACAUGGCUUUUGAUCUGAAUGGGGAGCCAGGAAACACACUAAUGCCAUCGUUAUAAACAUACCAAAUCCUAUAUAAUGAGCACCAAACGAAUGGCAUGGAUAAGUGAUCACGUUGCUCAGAGGAGAGCUGUGGUUUGGGGUAGUUAGGAUGGCUUUUUGGAGGAGGCAGGACCAGAGGUGGGUCUUGAACAAUGAGUAGGAUUUAGACAGA
rnacentral:lncRNA from 10 species